AGUUUGAUCCUGGCUCAGGAUGAACGCUAGCUACAGGCUUAACACAUGCAAGUCGAGGGGCAGCAUUGGAGUAGCAAUACUUCAGAUGGCGACCGGCGCACGGGUGAGUAACACGUAUCCAACCUGCCGCUUACUCGGGGAUAGCCUUUCGAAAGAAAGAUUAAUACCCGAUGGUAUAAAGAGUUCGCAUGUUCUCUUUAUUAAAGAAUUUCGGUAAGCGAUGGGGAUGCGUUCCAUUAGAUUGUUGGCGGGGUAACGGCCCACCAAGUCUACGAUGGAUAGGGGUUCUGAGAGGAAGGUCCCCCACAUUGGAACUGAGACACGGUCCAAACUCCUACGGGAGGCAGCAGUGAGGAAUAUUGGUCAAUGGACGAGAGUCUGAACCAGCCAAGUAGCGUGAAGGAUGACUGCCCUAUGGGUUGUAAACUUCUUUUAUAAGGGAAUAAAGUGAGGGACGUGUCCCUUUUUGUAUGUACCUUAUGAAUAAGGAUCGGCUAACUCCGUGCCAGCAGCCGCGGUAAUACGGAGGAUCCAAGCGUUAUCCGGAUUUAUUGGGUUUAAAGGGAGCGUAGGUUGACGUAUAAGUCAGCUGUGAAAGUUUACGGCUCAACCGUGAAAUUGCAGUUGAUACUGUAUGUCUUGAGUGUACAAGAGGUGGGCGGAAUUCGUGGUGUAGCGGUGAAAUGCUUAGAUAUCACGAAGAACUCCAAUUGCGAAGGCAGCUCACUGGGGUACAACUGACACUGAGGCUCGAAAGUGUGGGUAUCAAACAGGAUUAGAUACCCUGGUAGUCCACACAGUAAACGAUGAAUACUCGCUGUUUGCGAUAUACAGUAAGCGGCCAAGCGAAAGCAUUAAGUAUUCCACCUGGGGAGUACGCCGGCAACGGUGAAACUCAAAGGAAUUGACGGGGGCCCGCACAAGCGGAGGAACAUGUGGUUUAAUUCGAUGAUACGCGAGGAACCUUACCCGGGCUUGAAUUGCAGAGGAACAUAGUUGAAAGAUUAUGGCCGCAAGGUCUCUGUGAAGGUGCUGCAUGGUUGUCGUCAGCUCGUGCCGUGAGGUGUCGGCUUAAGUGCCAUAACGAGCGCAACCCUUAUCAUUAGUUACUAACAGGUCAUGCUGAGGACUCUAGUGAGACUGCCGUCGUAAGAUGUGAGGAAGGUGG
rnacentral:rRNA from 1 species